rnacentral:rRNA from 1 species
GUACACGCUGUGACUAGCAUAUCAAUAAGCGGAGGAAAAGAAACUAACAAGGAUUCCCCUAGUAACGGCGAGUGAAGCGGGAAGAGCUCAAAUUUGAAAUCUUAAAGGGUUUCCCUUUACGAAUUGUAGUUUAAAGAAGUGUUUUCUGUUGAGGUUUUGGUAAAAGUUCUUUGGAAUAGGACAUCAUAGAGGGUGAGAAUCCCGUAUUUGACCUUUACUUUCAACUUUGUGAUACACUUUCAAAGAGUCGGAUUGUUUGGGAAUGCAGUCCAAAAUGGGUGGUAAAUUUCAUCUAAAGCUAAAUAUUGGCGAGAGACCGAUAGCGAACAAGUACCGUGAGGGAAAGACGAAAAGAACUUUGAAAAGAGAGUUAAACAGUACGUGAAAUUGUCAAAAGGGAAGCGUUUGACACCAGUGUUGUUUUUCUGAAAAUCAAUUAAAGAACUGUUUAUGCUAAGCUGUUUAGACUUUAUCAGCUAUCUGUUUAGUUUUCGAGCUUUUCUUUAAUGCACUUUUCAGUUAACAAGUCAACAUCAAUUUCUUUUGCUGUAAAAAAGCUUGAGGAAGGUGGCUUGAGAUUCGUCUUAAGUGUUUAUAGCCUCUUGCCUAUGCAGUCGGAGAGAUUGAGGUCUGCAGCGUAGAUCCUUCGGGACUAAAUGCAUUUGUGCUAAGUUAUAGCAGUUUCAUAGACAACUUGUUGACUAUGAUUUGUCUUGUAGCUUACUCGCUUAUGUUAUUUUACCUACGCUUAGGAUGUUGACGAGACUGUCGAUCUC